GUCGUGGCUAUAUUUAUUGUCUCUCCCUGCCAACCUCAGCCUGGCUUCAUAUAGAGCAGAGGGCCCGGGAGGCUGAGCCUGUGAGAAAUGCAAAUUCUCGGCUCCACCUCAGACAUUCGCAAUCAGAACCUCUGGCCUGGGGACUGGGCGCUCUGUGUGAGCGAUUUCUUGGGAGACUUGCAUCUCGGCCAGUCUGAGAGCGCCCAUCUGGAGAUCCUAACGUGUGACUCGCCCCCCGACACUCACCUUGCUCUCUCCCUGCCCCGCCUCAUUCCUGGAACAGUCCGCGCUGCAGGUGUGGGAAGAAAGUAAGAAGCUUCUGAAAGAAUUUUCCAAAUUAACUCAAAUUGCCAGUGGUCUGCUUCUGUCUCCUGACGACAUCUUCCUUGGAAGAAGACUAAGGUUCUUGAUUUCCUUCUACUCGAAGGUACUUACUUUUCAGAAGGACUUUGUACCUCCUAUCAGUGAUAAUUCUUUCAGCUGCAAGUGACAAGAGAUCUGAUCUAAACAGGCGUAAGCAAAAAAGGGAAUAUGCUGUCUGGUAUAACCAAGCAGUCCAGAGCAGAGCAGGUAUGGCUUCAGGUAUGACUUUAUUCAAGCCUCAGAUGACACUACCUCAGGCCACGUUGUCUCUUCUUUUCAUGGGUCUCCUCCUACAUACACGGUGGGCUCUCCCUUUGCAAGAUGAUUGUCAACAGCUCUCAAGGUGAGGGUCUCCUGGUUUCCAAUACAGCAGAAAAAAGGUAAGAUCUUUGGCUUGGCAUUCCCAGGCAAAGUCUCAUUGCAUCUCAUGGUCUUUGAGCCUGUCCCUGAACCAAUCAUAUGGCCAGGGCUAGAUGAUAUGCUGAUUGGUUUAGACCCAGGUCCUGUGAUCCACUCCAAGCCAGUCAACUCCCCCCGAAGCCAAUGGACUGAGCCUGCGGGACUGGAUGAUCUGUGGGGGGAUCUGGGGACAGUCACCCGGAGAAAAGAGAGGCUGGACAGCCAAAGCAGCAGAUCUCUGUUGCUGACUAGCCACACUUUCAUAGACAAGACAGACUAGAGGAAAUGGUGGAAUGGACAUUAUUUCUAAGGAAUCCUAUAAAUAUGUUCACACUUUCUUUUGAGGUAGAUUUAGCCAGAAGUAUAAGUUUCCCAACUGGCAUAUCAUCAAAAUUACUGGGGGAUUUUGAUUCAAUAGGUUUGGGAUGGGACUCUCUGAGUGUCAUAACUCUGAUUAUUUUUAAGAUGAUCCCAGGUGAUUUGGAAGACCAAAUGGAGUUGGGCAUCCUCUGGUGCACCCCUGUUUUUGGCAGGGCCAGCUCCAGCAAAGGGGUGAAGUAGGCCAGCUUGUCUGUCUGACCUCUGUCCCCACUGCCUGCAGAGUCAAGCCCAGCGCUCUCAGCCUCCUGCGGUCUGGACUCAUGCAGCCUUUCUGGUUUAUCUCUUGCUGUUCCUCGACACGUACUUUUCAUUUGUCAGACUGGAAAAGUCGCUUACCCAAAAAUGCUCUGUUCCUUUCCCACUCUCCUGUCCUUGCUUAUGUCAUUUUCUUCUGAAAGUCCUCAUUUUCUACCUGUUGAAAUCCUAACCAUUAUUGAAAACUCAUCUCAAAUUCAUCCUCUUUGAAGUCUUUGCUGAUCACCCAGCCGGGAGCAAACUCCUACCCUAGGUCCACAUCUCGUAGGUUCUGUCUUGCACUGCAGUGUUUCUGUGUGGGCUUCACUUCCCCUUUCAAAACAAUAAGCCCCUGGGGGACAGGGACUGUGCUGUCCCUUGAGUCCUGGAUCUUCAAAGGUCCUACUAUAGUGUUUUAUUUGUAGGAGGCAUUCAAUUCAUUUCUGUUGUUUGGAUCAAAGUAGAGUGAAUGGAACCCUCAGAUCGCCCCUUCCUUCCUCCUUCUCUCUGCUUUGGCAUUUAAUCUUUACCAAGAUGUCUGUCCUUGGAAAGCUCGAAUGAAGUCCAGCCUAAUUUGUUGACAAGGCCUUGAGAUGUUACUUCUGCAGGGUUGCUUAUGUUUUAAGAGGAGGUUGCUGGAAGACAAAAAAUGUUAAAGUUGUAAUGGUAAACAGAAGCAGAAGGAGAGACCGGGGUACAGAAUUCAGGGACUCUCUCCUUUGUGAGAGCUCCUUCGUUUCCCGAAUUAGCUCUAUUACAAAGUGAGGGCAGAUGCACAUGACAAUGAAAAUACUAGACUAAAACUUAGGAGGACAGAUAGAGAUUCCUUUUUAAAUAAGAUAGGAAACCCAGAAAUCAUUUUAAAAGCAAAAAAUUUGUAUGGAUUUGACUACCCAAAAAAUUAGAAAUAUCUGCAGGGUGAAAAUAUACCUUAAACGAAGUUAAUAAAUGACAGAAGAAAAGAUUGAUAAUAUUUAUAACCACAAAAGUUUACUACUUGAUAAAUUUUUACAAUUUAUUUGAGAAAGCUAAUAUCCCAACAGAAAAACAAGCAAAGGAUACAAACAGGUGAUUUAUAGAAGAAGAAAUACAAAUGGGCAGAGGGUCAGAAAAGAUGCUGAGUCUCACUGUAGGUAGGGAAACAAAAGUGAAAUUAACCAGAUGUCAGUUUUUAGCCAUUCAAUUUGCAAAAUUUGAAACAAUCCAUAACAUCCAGAGCUGGGAGGGUUGGUGAAAUUGGCUUCUUAUGCAUUGCCGAUGCGGGUAUGAGUUGCUAUAAAUGUUUACCAAAGUCGUUUGGAAACAUCUAUAAAAUAAGUGAUGUUUAUAGACUAUGAUUGAACCACUAAUCCUAUUUCUAGAGAUCCAAGAUAUAGCUUACAAAAUGAAAAUACCAGGAUGUAAGACUACAGGUAUAAAGAUUAUUUCAGGUUUGUUUGAAGUGGCGACAAGAAAAAGAAAUGCUGAAUAUGAUCUCAUCAUAAUAUCACGAAGCUAAUAAGAAGAAUGAUUUAGAUCUCGUAGUAUGUGGAGGGGGUGAUGAGGAUGAUAUAUAUUAUAUUACAGAUUGGAAUAUCACUUUUAUGAAAAAGUGAUAGAGAAAGAAAACCCCUUCCAUAUGUGUUUAUAUUUCUGAUGUUUAUGAAUCUGUAGAGAAAGGUGUGAAGGUUGCAUACCAAACUGAGUACAUUGUUAACUUAGGGGGAUAGGAUUAGAACUGGGGAGGCAGGCCUGCCCUUAGCAUUGAGAGCUGGUGGGCCCGAGGAGAGAGGACAAAUGGAUGCUUGGCCUUGUCUGCUCCCCUGUUCUUCGUGCUAGCUCCCUUGUGUACCUGAAGAGACCUCAUGCACACAUGUGUUGGCACUGCAGUCUGCCUGCUCCCCACAAAUGCUCCUGGAGUGUAGGGGUGCACUCACCCCGAGCCAGUCUGCCUUUGGGAGGACAAGGCCCAGAGGAGGCCCACUCUGGCGUUGAAAGUGGGCUUGAGGCCAUUCAAGCAGGAAAUUCUAGUAUCCCUGCGCCCUAGAGUGCCGUCUAGAAGGAGACUCACACACUCUGGGUGGGUACAUAUCCUUGGUCCUGGAGACUCCUUGUUCCCCUGGUAAGGCUCAGCCUUCUAAAGCAGAGUGCUCAGGGCAGAGGCCCCAGUGGACCAUGUCUAAGGAGGAGAGGAACAGGGCAGUAGGGAAGAUAAUUAAAUAUUCUUCUUUAUGUAUAUCUAAAUUGUUCACCUAUUACCAUAAACAUUCAGGAAUUGAAAAAAAAAAUUUAAAAAGUGUCCCCUUAAACAUUUUAGGCUGAAAACCGAAAAUCUAACAGAGAAAAAGACACCCAGAUAAAUUAAUCUCUAACGGAGAAACAUCAGGCGCCAUGUGAGCGUGUAGGUAGGAGAAAGAGCUGAGAGCAACCACUAUUUCCUCCCACCUCCUGACUCCGUCUUGCCAUCCUAAUGUGUUGAUUUCCUGUAAAGCCAAGGGGCGUCCAAGGCAGGGAGUCAAGCACACAUACCUACAUGCACAUUUUGAGGGGAAGGUGUCCAUUAGGUUUCUCCAUCCAUCAAAUAUUUACUGAGGGCUCCUAUGUGUCAGGCACUGUUUCUGGUGCUGCGAAAACAGCAAAGAAUAAAAUAACAAAGAUCCCUGCCCUUAUGGGGAUAGACAUUAAACAAGAUAAAUACAAAAGAUGGUGUUAAAAAGCGCUAAAAAUAAAACCAGGAGAAAGUAAGGGGAGAGCAGGGAGGCAGUUUGACAUGGCAUGGCCAGCAAGUUCUUACUGUGAUGAACUAUGAAUCCAGAUUUGUAGGAAAUGAGGGGACCAGGCUUGGGUCAGGGAAGAAAACCAACUGAAGCGCCAGAUUUGUGCAGCUCACUCUUUUUCCCCUGGAAUUGAUUCAACAACAAGCCAGACAUGAAAAAACAUGGAGGAAACUUAUCUGCAUAUUGGUAGGUGAAGGCAGCCAGUCCAAAAAGACUACAUAUUGUACAAUCCCAGUUAUAUGACAUUCUGUAACAGGAAAAACUAUAGAGACAGUAAAAAGAUCAGUGGUUGGAGGGGAGAGGGAAGACAGAUGAACAGGUGGAGCCAGGGGACUUUCUGAGUAGUGAAAUAUUCUGCAGGAUACUGUAAUGGUGGCCACUUGAGCACACAGAUUGAACCUUAACGUACGGAAAGUAAUGAAAAAAUCAUUGAGAAGGUCAGAGGAUCCCAGGAAGGAAUGCAGACUGUGACAAGAGAUUCUAACUAUAUUGAACAUGUGUGAAACACCCUCACUGAAGGGAGCAGGGGAAAAGGUGCUACUCUAAAUAAUACUGGAAAUGAGUAGAAUCUGUAAGACUAAAAGGCAAAAGGAACUGUAUAUAAGCACUGUGCUCUAGUUGAUAAACUUGUUUCCCACAGUGUUGCAGGUUAACAAUACUGAUGCUACUAGACACGUCUACUGGAACUGAACGUGAAAUACACGGAUGGUGGAUGGUAGGAACCAGGUCUCUCACUUUUGGAGUGAGAAUUUACAGAGAAGCAAGGGGAGGAGGCUAGAAUGAUCUAUGUGGUAAUAAAUUAGAGUUGGAGACAUCAGUGAAAAAUCAUGUUUAAUUUAACAUAGAUGCAGAUAGUUACAUAAAGGAAUAUUUAUGGGUAUGUGAUAUGCAUGGGUUGGUAGACCCACAGAUAUUUCUUUGUUCUGUCAGCUGACAGGGCCUAAAACAAAAGGAAAAAGGAGAAGAUACCCUAGUAUCAGCGAGCACAACUCGUGACAGAUCUUGAUUUCUAAUGCCAUUCUCCAAUAAAUGGAACCAGGGCUCCUUAGAGAAAUAGGAUUGGGGCAGGAAAUAUACAAGAUGAGCCCGAGGCAUCUUAUAAUGCCAGAAAGUAAGGAAGUGCUCCCCCUUCAAAAAAAAACUGAUGGGGAUGUGUCAAAGGGGCACAGGAGACAGCUAAAAGAACCCCAGCGGCUAACGCUGGAACAAUUUGGGCUACAAAAUAAAGUACUAUUGGAUUAUAACCCAAAGUAUAAAAUAAAUAUCCAUGAGUCCAUACUGAUAUAAAUAAAUGAUUGAAUAAAUAAAUAAGUCGGGGAGGAUAGACACAUCUCCAUGCAGAAGAAUACUUCACCCUCAGGGAGUUGGAGCAGAACUGUCCACAUAAGGUCCAACCUCCUUCCAAAGCGUAGAGUAUGGAAAAGGGGCAAAAAGAGACAUUACUGUGAAUUGCCAGGGCCUCCCCGGGGGUGGGAUGCAAGGAGAGGCCAAUAAUUUAGGGAGCCUUUCUCUCCAGUGUAGGGGUCGAGUCCCACUAACCUCGUGUCUGUCGGCCCUUGAUACAUGUGUGCCUGGGAUGCGGCAGGACCGGCACACCCUGCCUACUGAGGAGAUACAAGCAGCUGUGGCCCUGAAGGCAGAGCGGCUGAGACAGUGGACGUGGGAAUGAAUGGCCACUGAAUCUCUUGACCUAGAAUUGUGCUCCUAGAGAAGGCUUUCCACCUUCCCCCCGGGGCCCAUUCAUUGAGGACGACUUGGGUACUUUGGUGGCAAGCAACAGAAGUGGAUUCUGCUACCUUAAUGAAGAAAAAAAGAAGAUUAGCCCUGAGCUAACAUGUGCUGACAAUCCUCUUCUUUCUACUGAGGAAGACUCAGCCCUGAGCUAACAUCCGUGCCCAUCUUCCUCUACUUUAUAUGUGGGAGGCCUCCACAGCAUGGCUUGGCAAGUGGUGGCUGGGUCUGCACCCAGGAUCCGAACCAGCAAACCCUGGGCCGCUGAAGCAGGACAUGCAAACUUAACCGCUGCACGACCAGGCCAGACCCUUUUCCUACUUUCUUUUAAAUCUUUUUUUUAAAAUUUAAAUUUAUCUGACUUUGUGUCCUAAAUACAUCCCAAUGGGUUCCUGUGUAGUGGUGUGCCCCUCUGCCUUACGUCCACAUCCUCAUUUUCCUAUCUUGUAUCACUGCCUCUCCUUUUCUCAUCUCCCUUUCUCUUCUUCUCUCUCCUGCCUCCAUUAUUCCAGGCCCCUCUGGAGCACAAUCAUUUCUCUAGGGAGUAUUGGUGGUGAUCAGAGAAUCACAGAGAAGUAGAGGGACCCACAGGCUUUCACUUCCAUUGUUAGAGCAGAAAUAGAUGCUGAGGGGAAAGGAACUGGGCAUCAGGCUCCCAGGACAACUUAAAGGGCAGUGCCUUUAAGGGGGUGGAGGGGGCUCCGCUCACCGAGCAUCUGGAUCUUGCCUGCUGAGCUCAGUUAGUGCUCUCUGAGCCUCUGUGAGAGCUCGCAGAUGCCCACAGGUGAUAUCAUUAGUCCUCGUGUUGGAGGAUUGGGGCAGGCAGAAAAUGGUGGCAUUUGGAGCUUCCAAUAGAGGGCCUGCACUUUGCACGUCCAGGGGAGUUGUACUCUGAUCAGAUUAGGAGGAAAUGUAAAGGCACCUGGUAACAACGCUGUUUGUUAUAGGGCAGAAAUCAGUGCAAAUCAGGCUGGCCCUGGCUCUCUGCCAAAGGAUUUUAUUUCCUGAAUCACGAAAACCAUUUCCCCUUGAGACUGUGCCAUGGCCCCAACCUCCAGCACAGAACUGCAGCGAGGCUCCAAGGCCACUGCCCUUUGGGCCGCACUUGUGGUGCUAACUUUGUUCCACUUAGGGGCUUCCUGAGCCUUGCUGCAGAACACCCCUAAUUGCACUGGGCUAUCUUUCCCUGGACCACAGCAGUCUGAGGUGCUGCUGCUUCAGCGAAUGUCCAGUGCCUGGCUGAUGGGGCCUGGAGUCAUGUCCCAGGGGGGCUGGCUGCACAUGUGUGGUGGAAGGACCCACAGCCAUCCAGAGUGGAGGCUGGAUGCUUGGGGACACUGGGAGAAGACAGGGUGCAGCAGACCCACAGUGGGUGGUGGAUCCUUUUGGGAUUUCUGUCCCACGGUCUCAGGAGCACGCACCGUUCGAUUCCUUGGCUCGCUGCAUCCUUGGGUGGGUAAUCCGAGUCCUGCAGGGCUGGUAGCUGCAGCCACGAAGCCAGGGUUGCUCUGUUUUUUCUCAACAGUUAGCAUGUCCCAGCUCUUCUUCAAUGUCAAAAUGUUUUCCCGUGAACACCAGGGCUAGCAUUUCCCCGCCCUAUCAGCCCUAGCAACCAGAAGCCCAGUUUCCAGGAAAGCAGCCACUUGAUCCAACCUGGUGGAACCCACUCCCCAGCUCAGCAACUCACAUGGCAUUUACGCCCCAGUGCUCCACAGCAGAGUGUUUUUUUAGCUGCGGCCACAUGACAUCAUUUCCAACUGGCCAGCCUUCCUCCUGCUCCCCCACACAGCAGCCCUCCGCCCCCAGCCUUUCUCCUCUGCACAGUCCAGGGUGGUAGUUUGUGGAGGGGUGGGAAUGCGUUGGGCUUUUUUUGAGGGGCUAAUUCCCUUUGUUUCUCGAAAUAUCCCAGCCCUGGCUGCUCUCAUCCCUUCCCUGGGUAGAGAGAGCGUGGCUGGGGCUCCAGGAAUGCACGACUGCUCGCUGAGACAGGGCUCUCGCUGAGCCUGGGGGGCCGAGAUGGGUGGCCCUGAGGAAGACCCUUCCCUUCAGUGGGGCGCCUCCCUCUCUGGUGUGAAAUGGAAAUGCUGUUUCUCUGAACCCUGCAUCCUGUGAGAUGCUUGAAAAAAAUAACAGUGAUGCUGACAUGUGAUUGUUAGGUGCCUCCCACGCCUGGCAAUUGUCUUUGAGUACAUUUGGUGGUACUUUGGUGAGCCACGAAAAAGCAAGCCUGUGUCUUGUGAUAUGAAGAGGUUCUUUUCCUAACCAUAUAUGUCUCCCCCAGAGAACCAAUAAAUAAUGUGGUCCCUCUGGCAGGGCUGUCUUUCCACAGCUGCCCCAGGAGCCCUCUGGCCCCCGCUCGCUGCUUCUCCUGUUUCAAUUUCCAUGUCCUCUCCGUUUUGUAACUCAAGGAGCUCCUCGGGCUCAGGAACAGCUGACAACCUGGCCAGCUCCCAGCCAUGGCAUCUGGGGAAGGGGCGAUGGGCACGGACUUGCAGGCAUGCUUUAGGGCACCCUGUCCCAGGCUGCUGUGAAUCACUGGAAGGUGAGCAAGGAUGUGUGCUGGGGCAUAGGGACCUCCGGUGCCAAACCCAGAUCUGGCAAGGCUGUGCAAGUGAGUAAGGAGAGACGGGGAGAUGAGGAAGAGCUUUUCUCAUGGGAGAAUCCCACAGACAGUCCUCUCAUCACAUCCUCAUCUUCAGCCUCCGUCCCCCCACCAGAAAUUCAGGGGGCACGCGUAGCUAGACUCUGCUCAUGUUGCUGAAUUAGAGAGCACAAAAGACCUUUGUAAACCCAUCACACUCCAGCCUAUUUUACAGAUGAAGAAAGUAAAGCCCAGAGGAGAAAUAACUUGUCCCAAGUCAGGUAUGGCUGGGGCUUAAACCCAGCUUCCCCUCAGAGCCCUGCUCACCAGAGAGCUCAGGGGCUGCCCGCUCUGCCCGCCCAGCCCCCCACCCUGUGCGUUUCCAUCCUGCCCCCAGGGAGGUGAGUGCACCCUGGGACAGUGGUAAGGGGGAGCUGGUGGAUGAAAGGCAACGAAACCCAUGGAGUUCAUUCCUCUAGCCCGGCCCCUCUACCCGGCUCUGCUGACCCCUCCUGCUGCACUCCCCUGACCCCUUCCCAAAGUGAUGGCUUUUCCUUCUGGGUCAAACUAAAUGCUGCGCCCUCCUAGCCCCGGGGGAGGGACAGGCUGAGUUCCAGGUUAGGGUGACUGGGAAGAACACUGCGCUGUCGCUGCCUCCAGCUGUUCUUUUAUUACCAAGCGCCUGGGAGAAGGGAGCCAAAAGGGCCCUCAGAAGCAAAGCAUGUCAUUUGGGGAGUGGCUGGCGAUGCCGGUGUUGAUGGCUGAGCGUCACAGCCGCAGCCAAAAAGCCCCUGGACUCUGAUUCCUCCCGUCGCUAAGAGCAGGAGUGGUAAUCUUGGAGAACGCCCUAAAGGUGACCGCAGGGCCCGAGCUGCUCCAGCUACGGGCUUUCAGGGCAUCUUCCCUCAGAGUUCUGGAACGCCAUGCACUUGUUUAUCUGCUCGGAGAGCGGCGUGCCCGCCCCCUCUGCCUACCUCUGCCUCUCCAUGGGCUCAGCAUGCCACUGGCAUUUAAUAAAUGUUAAAAAAUAGCAACGUCUGAACCACUGACCUUCGCAUAAAGUCCUUUGAGACCACUGCCAGAGCAUUUCCUCCUUUGUGGGGCCAGACAACCCCAAGGCCCAGAAGGAGAAAAGAGAAACACACCCUCAGCACGGGGGCCAGGGACACCGUGGGUCCAGGUCGCAAUAAUGGAAUGGGGCCAGAUGCUUUCACAGAGAUGCCUGGGCCGUGUGCCCUCUGCCAACCAAGGGCAGUGGCUUUGCGUCCCCUCCCUGCAUCCCUCCAGAUGUGUCUGUGCUGAUGAUCCAGAGUUUCAGACCCAAGCACCGGGCUGAGGUGGGGCACUUCCAACACCCUCUCUUCAUCACCUGCCCCUCCCUCGCAAAGUCCCUUCCACCAUCGUUCGGCUGAGACUUCCUUAUCUGGGGGUGAAGGAUGAGUGGGACUGGGGUUUUCCAGCCAGUCUGAGUCUUGGGUUUCAUCCUCUUCCUUUUAAAAAGUAUUAUGCAGGCUUUUCUUUACCCACAGGCCUGGUCAGCGGAGUCCUGGCAAGUCUUUUAUAGCCAGCUCUCUCCCUUCCUCUUUUUCUUCUUCCCUAAAGACUAUGGAGAGAUGAAUAUUGCAGAGGGGAGGGGACCUGAGGGCCUGGAACUGGAAGACAAGCUUUAUGUAAUUGAUUUAACCUCCCCAUUGUACCGAUUUGAUAGGUGAGCAGUUGAGAUUUGGAGAGAGUAAGUAAGGAGCCCAGGGUGGCAGCCGGCAGGACCAGGCACAUCCCAGGCCGAUCGCGUGGGACCCAGAGUGCUGUCCAGGGCUGGAUGCUGACCCCUCUGGGGCUCACGGCAGGACAGGCACUGCUCCAGAUGCUCGAUGCGCUUGACCCCUUUUCAUCUCAGUGACAGCCUUGUGAGAAGGUAGCCAUUGCUCUCCCCAUUUUACGGAUGCAGAAACUGAGGCUCAGAGAGUUAAGUACCUUCCUAAAAUUGUCACUUUGGUUUCUGAGCCUUUGUGACAGCAGCAACAGAUAUUUUCUGGGGAUCCUGGGCAUCAUGGAUGACUGGACUGUUGGCCUGACCAGCCAUCCCUGUUGCCCAGGACUUGCCCAGUCUUAGCAAUGAAAUUUCCACAUCCUGGGAAACCCCUUAAUCUGGGGCAAACUGGGUGUGUCGGUCGCCCAUUAAAUGUUCCUCCGUCUCUUCCUCUGCCUUUCCCACAGUGCUUCAGAUCUUCAGAGCAACCCACCGUUAACUUCAGCCUUUUCCCUGGGAAAGACAGAGGGGGCUCUGGAGGAGGGCAGGUCCUAAGUCACGGGGUUAUUUGAGGAUUCCAGGGAGAAAAGUUCUCAGCACAGCGCUGGGAAGGCAAUGGAUGCCCACAAAUGGCCACUCUUGUUCUUAGCCGGAGGACAAGAAGAAUGGACAGGGAGAUGGGGAGUGACAGCAGAAUUGGGGGAUCUGGUGCAGUGGAAGGGAGCCCCUGAGGGGACACCUCCGUCUGCUGAGUCCCUACGCAGGGCCAGGCACUUCCAUCCAUCACCCGAGUCCUUGAGGCUGCGACUAGGUCUGGGAGACAGUCUGCAGGGCGUGGGUCCAGGUGAGGAGACCCAGGCUUAAGAAGGCCAGUGCUUGCCCCAGCGAGGAUGUGGGGAGCGAGGACUUGAAUCCACUCCAUCGGUCUUCGAAGCCUUGCUCUUAAUUAUGAGACAGGGCUGCCUCUUAGGGGAAAAGGGAUGGGGAAGAAGGCGCUCGAAAGGGACCUGGAAAGAAUGCAAGGAGGUGGAAGGCAGGAAGAAGCAGAGAAAACGGAAUCUCUAUGGGAGCUGGGAGUGUGAAGAGGUUUCCGGCCCAGUUCGUGAGAGUGGUCUCGGUGCGCCGAGUGCGCUCCUGUGGGCCAGGCCUUCUCUGUGUUUUCCUGUGUAUUAACCCAUUCAAGUCUCCCAAAUCCCAUGAGGUGAGUAUCAGCAGCUGCAGCAGCAUCUGCGUUUUACAGAUGAGGAGAGUGGGGCCCAGAGGGGUAAAGAAACUUGCCCAAGGUCACACAGCUAGUAGUGAUGUAGCUAGGAUUCAAACUUGUCUGAUGGUUAAGGAUCAGAGGAGUUUUUCCUUGUCCUUUUCUAAAACAGUUAUGCAGCCUUUACUCGCAAGCUUGGCUUGGUGGCGUUGAGGUAGUCUUCUCUUUCAGUCUGCUUCUCCCCUUCCUCUUUUACGUUCCUCCCUAAAGGCUGGGAAAAGACUAUUUUAGCCCCUCCACCUCUUUCUUGGCUCAGGCCUGAUCAGGAGUAGGACCGGUGCCUGUGUGUUGGGGGCCGGGGGGUUGGUGAUUGGUAAUCUCAGGUGCGUGUGUGGGACUGUGUGUGUGUGUGUUUGUGUGUUGAGAUCAAAGUUGCUCCAGGAAAAUGUGUACACCCUGGAGCUUGAAGAUUACCUGGGCCAGCCCCCUCUCAGCUCAUCUCUAAACCUUCAUGGCGAAUGUGCUUUCAGGAGCCUGGGGAAAGAGCCAGACCCUGAGAUCACCUGCUGGCUUUGUCCCAGCUCGCUGCUCAGGAAGCAGGCUUUGUGCAUCCCUUGCACCUGUGUCUGAUGGGAAAUUGGAGGCGGGAGGAGCCGAUCAGGAAAGAACCUGCGCUGGGUGUGGGUUCCGCUGCCCAGGCGAGCUCCACCCCUGCCCCACCCCUCCCGACAAAAGGCAGCUGUGAAUCACCAGCUCCCGCACCACCUCACCUGACCCACCCUCUUCCCAGCACCACCCCUGCCAUCACCUCCUCACCUGGGCACAUUACUCACCUGUCUCUGUCUGUUCCCCUCGCUGAGUCUGCAGGGGGCUUGUUCUGCGACCAGCCCUGCUGUGAACAGCAUAAUUGCGUAUGGCCCACACACCAAUAGGUUGUAAUUGUUGAACAAUAAAAGUGCAAUACCAGCCACAGUUGAUGGUCCAACUCAUACAGAGAUACAGAAUCAACUUCUGUAUAGUCGGGAGUCUGUUUCAGGUAGCUUUCACACCGGAAGUUCUCUUUCUGCUAACAAGUUAGGGAAUUAGAUCUCUACCAGAGCUACAGAGAGAAGCCAUUUCUCGUUAGAAAGCAUUUUGCAGAGCAGCCAGUAGAGGAGCGUGAAGCGCCUUCAACUACAACGUUGCAUGGAUGUCCGUGUGAAUUAUGGUCCACAGUGGUUGGAGUAACACAACACAGAAAUCAGUCUUUACAGCUCAUAGUAAAUACACAAUAGAAUGGUAUUGAAUAAAUGAAUAAAAAUUCUAUUACAAUGUCUGAAGAUGAAGAGUGAGAAACUGAGAAUUCUCUGUAUUGGAAUAUCAAUACUGAUACAAAAAUGCAAUCCAGCCUGGCUGGAAAGAUGGAGCAGUUUGAGAUACAGAAAUACAUCUUGAAACCAGGGUGGUGAACAAAAAGAAUCAGCAACUGAGAUACAUCCCUUUGCAGUAGCUAGAUAAAGGCGGGGUUGCUGUGUAUUGCUGCACAGGUUGUAUACUGCACAACUCCAGCAGAUAUUCUUUACAGCGACUGCAAUAUGCAGAGUGUUUUGUAAAGUCAUGGCACUGGAUAAGGGUUUUCCCAACCCCUUAGUGAGGGAUAUGUGGAAAGUUACUAUCAGAACAAAACAGUGCAUGUUAUUUAGACUUUGUCUAUGCAUCCAUUUGUGCCUACCUUAACUGUUUAGCAAAUUGCAAACAUAAUUCAUUCCUGUGGAUUUAGUCAUUUAAAAAUUUUUUUAAUAUAUCAUGAAAUAAUUAUAGAUUUACAGGAAGUUGCAAAACAAUGGACGAGGAGGUCCCACAUACACUUCAUCCAGUUUUGCCCAAUAGUAACAACUUGCAGAGCUAGAUUUAAAAUCUAAACCAGAAGGUUGACAUUGGUGCAACCCACAGAGCAUAUUCAGAUCUCACCAGUUUUCCAGGCAGGUGUUUGUCUAUAUACUUCUGUGCAGUCCUAUCCCCUUAAACUGGCGGUAGAUGCUUGUAACCACCUCCACAGUUCAGAUACAGAACCGUUCCGUCCUAAGGAUGUCUCCCACCCCACGACACCCACCUCCAUCCCUAAGCCCUGGGAACCACUCAUCUGUUCUCUGGCUCCAUAAUUAUGUUAGCUUGAGAAUGGCACCUAAAUGGGAGUUCAAUCUUUUUUUUUCUGUCAAUCAUUUUUAAACUAAUUCUUUCACUGCAAAGUUCUGCCUUAAGGAUUUCUACACAAGCAUGUGUAAAGGAGAAGUACUCGAACUAGGGGGACCCAACAGAGAGCAAAGUCAAGAAUCUGGGGCCUGGAGGGGCCGGCAGGCAGGGAAACCAGGGAGCAUGUCUAUUUAGUGGGCACCGACUGUGUGCCAGGCACGGUUCAAAGACUGCACGCUGCAUCCAGAAAGGUGCUCGAGAGGCUGCCUCCUCUUCAGAGCUCUCUCCCACCCUCACCCGACACAGGCUCUUUCUGUCCUUUGCAGAAGCAUUUCCCAUUGGGUCACCAUCUCUUCCAGAGCAGGAGUAGCUCUUGCUACUCAGGGAGCUAGACAUGAACUAUGGGGCCUUUGGCCACCCCGCUGUUCCCCUUUGAUUUUCCCUUCCCUUGGGUGCUGAGCAUGCUCUGGCUGCCCAGGUGGUUGCAUGCCAUUCCUCUGCUUGUGGCCCUUGGAUUGCCCUUGCUGCCACCUCCCAGCCACUGGGACCAAAUGCUGUCUGGGAGCUGAAUGCAGGGAGCCUUCACCUCUGGCAUCGCCUUCUAUAGCCGCUAUGGCUGCCUCAGGUUCUCACCUCUGAAGACCUGGAGAGAAACACACACAACCAUUAUUGGCACCCUCAGCAUUCUCAGGAAUUAAAGAUUAAUGGAGAGGAACUCAUUGUUCUAAAUCCCCUGCUGGGUAUGAGAUUUAGGAAAUUCCCUUCUUGAGGUUAUUAAGUCUCAGUGGCCUGGUGGGGCUAGGUCUCCGGUGACACAACAUAAUUGGCCUAUUAUCUGGGAACUUUGGGCUGAAUUGGCACAAACAGACAUUGAGGGACUUUAGACCCAGGAAUGGAUUAUAGGGCCUGGUGAGUUCUUAUGUUGGGAGAUCUUUGAAAACAGAAGUGAACCUGAUGGGUCUGAGCAGUUAGGCGCGUCUUGCCUGAAGUCAAGGCAGAAGCUAAAUAUCGCCUUAGAGCUCUCGUUGCACUUUGAUUUUGAGAAAUCGCCACCUCUAUUUGUCAAUGGACCUAUGGCCUCAUGCAGAGAAGACACAAUCUUGGUGUUUCAGCUUUGCCGAAACACCAGUGAAUACACUAUAGCUAAUCUAUAGGCAGAAUCCUCCAGUAUGAUAUUCCAACGGUAUACUAGAUCGGAUGCUUACAACCGUUUUGAAAUUGGGAUACCUGUCAUUGUUUGAUCAGCAUCGUGGCCAAGUACCUCAGGUUGCAUAACAUGUCUACUUCACUUAUUGAUUGUGUUGGGAAGAUUUUGUUAGACCACUUAAGAAAGUGGGAGGCCUCUUGAAAAUCACAACAGGAGACUGUCUACAUUUAACCAUUCUUUCUAGGAUUAUCUUUUAGAAAGAUAAUGUGGCCCUUGGAUUCUUUCUAGGUUAGAACCUGAGAUCAUAAAACCAGAAGUCAGAAAGACUGAUGUUUGAGUUCAUGGGAGCUCAUAUAAGGAGAGAAACAAGUCAUUGGGUCAUUGUCACUGGGCACAUAAAAACUGUGUCAUUUCAUUCACCCCAAAUAUGGGCAGUUUGGUGACUUUAGAAAUUUACUGGUGACUCAUUCAACCUUUGCUCUUCAACCCUUUGCCUUGGAAACCCCCUCUUUCUUGGGCCCCUCCUUGUUAAUAUAGCCUAAAGUUCUUACGAGUCCUUCAAGGGAAGAAAUGGAUAGAUUCCCUUUAUGUGGAUUCCAGAUCAAAGCAAACAACUCGAAAACGAGAUCUGAAACCCGCUGACCCUAAAUGAAGCACUGGGAAUAUUCUGUUUACAAAUGAGAGCCCGUGAUGCCCUGGAGAUGUGAUUUUUCCAUAAAGGGAAGUCCUCAGAUUUAUUGCACAGACUUACUGUCCACCCUUUUCUCUUUGUAGCAAGUAUCCUUCUGUGAGAGGCACAUUAAAGACCCCCGCUCUCCUAUCUACAAUCCUAAAAUCCAGAAAGCUACAAAAACCAAAAGUGUUUUGUAUACCUGGUGCCAUUUACCAGCAAAAUCUGAUCUGAACUGACUUGAAAUUAUUUAUAUGUUUAAUUUAUCUCACCUACUAUGAAUCUUCAUGUUUCACUGCAGAAAACAUUAUGUUUGAACAUGGGGCAGUGUCCCAGGUCCCUGUGAGUGAUGUUAACUCUAUGUGGUAUAUGAGCCACAUUAUCUUUCUAAAAGUCUGAAAAAUUCUGAAUUCCGUAACACAGCUGCCCCAAGGGUUUUGAAUACGGGAUUGUGGACCUGGAGCACAGCGCUUUUUUUUUUUUCCCGUACUACACAAAUGUCAGAUGCCUUUCUUGAUAGACGAUGGGACCCAACCAGAUGGCCCAGCUUGUUAGGCCUUUAGUCCCCUGUCACUGACAAAGUCUAAGGCCACAUGAUCCCAUGUUAAACCCCAGACUCCAACGCUUCCUCUGCCCUGCCUGGCAUCCAAGCGCUGGUAGCUCAGCCUUUUCGGCUGGCUGGGCCCAGAGGUGACCACAGCACCGUGGGCCUGCACUUCCUGGAUUCCUUUUCCUACCCCUCAUGUGGUUUCUCCAUGUGGGAGAGGGAGAGUGGGUGGCCAGUGCUUGGCUCAUUGCUCCCAAGGCUUCCAGAGAGGUGUGUAAGACCUUAUGAUAAAUCCACUGAGUCAUUCACCCAUUCAUUAGUCAAUGUAUUCCUUCACUCAGUUAACGCUUCUUGUGCGCCUUUCGUGAUUUAGGUAUGCUUUAUUGAGAUCCUCAUGCAAAGAGAGCUGGGGAAGCUUGGACUCAGGAUUUUCUCAGACAAUGUUUCACAGAAUCCAAGAGAUGUUAGUGGAUUUUCCAUCUUCCAAUCUUUCCAAAAAAGAUUUCCAUGAUCAAAUAAGUCUAGAAAAUAAUGAGUUAAACAGGUUUCUUCGCUACAGCACUUUUCUGAGUCCUUGAUAAAGUAACGUGCGUGGCAAACUUCCAAAAGGGGGGGUUAACAUUGACCAGGGAGCACUUGCCCCUGGACCUCCAGGUCCCAAAUGGUUUCUGUAUCCCAUGGAGGCUGUAGGAGGAAUGAUGUGGAAGGUGACAGCUGAAUGGCUCCACAAAGCAAUAGGAAAAUGUCUAUCACGCUGUCUGUGUUUGCAGGGGCUGUAGGCUACUGUCACCUCUUCCAAGUACUCUGAAACAAUACAAACGUGCAGGUGGCCACCUGGGGCUAGUGGAGCAAAGAGAAUGCUCUUCUGGGGUCAUCCAACCUUGAAAAGUGAUAGCCCUUUCAGACCAAUUUCCAACUGAAUCUCUUUGAAUUUCUUUUACUCCUUGUGUAGCUUGCCAUCCACGGUGUUGUGCUGGGCCCAGCAGAGGACAUUAUUGCCCUUUGACCUGUUAGCAUGUUAAGAACCAAGAUUUCUCAUGAGCCAAGAAGACAGGGAAGACUGGAGGAGUCCCAUUUUCAUGACUGGUCUCACAGUUGAGGUAUGGUCUCUCCUAGGAAAACCCAUAAAUACACUCGAGUGUAGGGUUUUAAAACACUUUCCCGCAGUUGGAAUGGCAGUUUUACCUAUGGAGACUCAACACGACUUUAUGACUAACUCAUGGAACAACGUUUUGCUGGAGAUAAGACACAGCCUUGAGGUAGGUUGGGGCAGAGGGGACUCUUCAGUAUUUGCUUUCUUAAAAAGGAUCUGAGUUCAAUUCAGAAACUGAAUAAUUAUUAUUCCUGCCACUGACUUGCUCUCUGACAGGAAUUAUAUUACUUUAUUUCUAUUUGACUCUGUUGUGCCUCAGUUUCCCCAGAGGAGAAUGGGAAUUUGUGAGUAUGAAGAAAUGCCUGUGAACUUGGGAAUACUCCUGGAGUGGAAAAUUGUAGGUACUAUGAAAUGACUUUAUUUUUUUCAGUGAUCACUGUGUAGUGAGCACUCAACAAAGAUAUGACUAGGAUGUAAGAACGAUGAUCCGUGAAUCCUCAGUGGUCAGUGGAGGUGCUCAGUACUUGUUGAAUGCGUAAGUGACUGAUUAAUGACCAUCAGAGGAAAGAAGGAGGAAGGAAGGAGGGAAGAAGGGAGGAAGGAAGCAAGGUAGGAAGAGAAGGAAGGGAGGGAGGGAGAUAGGGAGGGAGGAAGAAGGGAAGGAGGGAAGAGAGGUGGGACGGAGGAAGGAAACUUCUUCUGAGCUAACAGGUGACAAAGUGUCACCUUUGUUCUUUUCUUGUCAUGGAACCCAGGAGAUGUGUAGAACUUUUUUCUUCACAAUUCUUUCCAAAUACAUAAAAUAUUUUUCAAUAUUCCAAAUUUCCUCAGAUGUUUCUUUUCCUCCUCUUAUGCGAGUGAGUGAAUCAUUCAUUGCUCAGGACUUUUGCUGAACAAGCAUGGUUCUCUACUUUUUAAAACCUGUGUCCUUUAGCAGUGAGGUAAGCCCUGGAUGGCCACUUGCACUUUUAUAUUGUUUCAGAGAAGUUGGAAGAGAUGACAAUAGCCUACAGCCCCUGCAAACACAGACAGAGUGUGGUAGAAAUUUUCCCAUUGCUUUAUGGAGUCAUUCAGCUCUGUCACCUUUCACAUAAUUCCUCCUACAGCCUCCAUGGAAUACAGCUACCUAGAUCUGCAUGCUGCUAAUAUUUAAAUUGCUUGAUCCUUUCAAAAUAGUCUAUGCAAACCCAAGAGGCCCUCGGCCCACCAGACAUUUUUCUUCCCUAAUAGUUGAACAGUUCACUGUGCUCCUGGACUUUCCCCCUCACACUGCCCACUUUUCCUUCUCCUUGACGGGCUGUGGCCGGCAAUGCCAGGGCGCAUGCCCCAGGAGAAAGAACACAGGACUUGGAGCCAGGAGACCAGGGUUUGAGUCCCAGCCUAGCUACUCAUCCAUCAUGGGGUCUUGGGCAAAUCUCUCAGCUUUUCUAGCCUUACGUCACCCCACAGGGCUGUCCUGGAAUGCAAUGAGCUCAGUGUGAAAUUGUUACCGAAUCAGGUUUUGCCUGCUGCACGAUUAUGUCAAUCACCGAGAUGACAAGUUUGCAAAGAGAAAGGAUUUAAUCACAAAGUGGCCAAGCAAGAAGGUGGGAGAAUCAAUCUCAGAUCUGCCUCCUUGAGAAGGGGAACUCAGGGAUAUUUAUGGGGUAGGGGGCAAGGUGGUCUGCAGUGUGCGAUUAGAUGAUUGGAGGUGAGGAGAAAUGAGGCAAUUGACGAUCCGUGCAGGAGUAGUCUUGCUUCAUGCCUCUUCACAGGACCCAUGUUCACAAAAUGGUGGCCUUACCAUGAUCUGUGGGUGGAGUUUUUAGUCCCUUGACAUGAAAAAGAUCAAUUGUCAGUAUUUGCAUAGGCCCAGUUGAUGGGUUGGUGGUCUAAACCGGCCUGAACUGGACGAGAGUGUCCAGUUCCAGAAAAACCACACUUAAUUACUCUGUUGAUAAGAUGGGAUCAGUUGAACUGGUCCUGCGGGGCCUGAGGUUAAAAAAUGCUCUGCUUUUCCCUGGUAGAAUUCUGCAGGAAGCCCAGGGCAGGGGGAAGCAGGGCUGGGUCUACACUGCUGCUACCUAGCCCCCAUCUCCAGGGGUUCCCAAGCUGCCGGGGCCGAGGACGCAUUGUGAGCAGCCUGAGCCAGCCAGGGCCAUGUCUUUUGUCACAACUCCUGCUCUAAUUAAAAACAUGGUUGAUGACAUCCAGGAGUCUUUUGACUGGUGCAUAAUAAUAAUAAUAAUCAAAAAAUUUCAAACCGUGAGCCAGGAGGUCUGAGUUCUGGACUGGACUCUGAACUAUGUUAGCCCCAAUUCUCUGAAUUUCAGUUUCCCCAUUAGGAAACUCAAGGACCACACAUUCAUUUUUAACAUUGCGUCUUUGCACAUUUACUAAGCACUGUUUUUAAUACUUAUUGUGUAAUAGCUGUAUGCAGUAGGUACAACUGCAAUGCUCAUUUUAUGGAGUAAGAAACCAAGGCUCACACUGGGUCACAGAGGCAGUAAGUAGCAGAUCUGGAUCCAGUCCCACAGUCUCAGGCCAAUGGGGUGUGGCUGCACCCCACCCUGCCUUGAUUCAAUGACUUCUCAGGACAGACUGACCCCCAGGGCAGGGACUCCUCACCCUCAGAGCUCUGACUUUAGGAAGCAAAACAAGGAACACCCUUCUCUAGUAAUUUCAUGGGAUAUUCCUGUUCCUGGCCUGGUCUAGCCGCCUGGUCUAUGUCAGUCAGCUAUGAGGAUCCCCAAAUACAGACUGGGGUAAAAAGACAACCUUCUGUCUUCUGUUUUACUCCUGAGUAUAAGAAUGAGCGUGGAUUAGAAAGAGAAAGACAGACAAAAGCUUGUGUUGAUUUUAUAAACCACCAACUCAUGAACCACUCAGCUGUCUUCCCGUCGCUGCCCAUAAAGAACUGAUCAUCUGGAACAAUAAAAUACAGGCAUUUAAAGAGACAGACACCAGACGACUGUUCAGAGCUGCUGUGAAGGAAGAUGCCGCUGCCUUUGAAGCCUGCGCCCCAAUUUUGCUUUCUGAGGUGCGUGCGCGGCUCCUCUUGACGUCAGCUCGGCGUGAGCCUCCGAGGGUGGAUUCCUGGCUCAGAAGAAGAAAUGAAACCGGUGAUGAGGGCGUGCCUUGUGCAACAACAACUGAGCUAUUGUCCUGUCCCCCACCCACACUCACCCUUUCCUUCUCUACUGGACCCCUGCUCACCUGGAGAUAAGGCAGCACAGAGGUUUUCCCUGGAGGUUGGGAGGGGCCUCCUCAGCAGUCAGGAGCAGCCUACAGGCUGGCAACUGGUCCUGCUUAGCCCCGAGGCCCACUUUGGGUGCAGGGGCUUCUCCUGUUUCAAAAAGCAACUCUUGCUGGAACAAAGCCCAGAGAAGAAAUGAGUUCAGAAGGAGGGACUCAUUUCCAGCGAGGUGCCUUCUAAAAAAAGGCUUCCGAUUCAGACUCUGACCUCUCCUGUCCCUCCAGCGGCGGGGAGCCCGUUGCAAUCCAAGGGGUCCUAAACCUGGACCCAGCCUCCAGGUGCCUUGUCUUCCUCUGGCCCGGGGAAUUUUUGUCAGGGGUGCUUUCGCUUGUUGUUUCCAAACCACAGCAUCUUUUCCUCACACUCCCUCCCUUCCUGUAGCAGGAAAGGACUCCAAAUCACAAUGACGCCAGCCAUGUAUACUGAUCCCAAUUCGUCAUCAGGAACUUCUGAGCGCAGGAUGGAAAUCCAGAGGGAGGCUUGAGCGCCCCUCAACCGAGAGUCCCUGAAGAGGGGCGCGGCCUUCGGGGCCAAGUCCAGGGCCAGCGGAGUGUUUCCUUCCGCAGAGUUGGGGUACCGUAAAAUGAGACCCCUAAUCUCAUCCAGGGCUUUUUUUCUUCUGAUUACCCCC
ensembl:lncRNA